CCGGGUAUUUAAGGCUGGAGUUAUGCCACCUGGUGUACGUCACUGCUGGGACCGCACCUAUGGAGUGCGCGUGUAUAGAUGCGCGUGGAAUGGCCAUUUGAUGCGUUGUGUUGGGUUGCAGGCUGUCCACUACAUGUCAGCUGUGAAAUUCUUCGGUGAAGGUGUCUUCCUGCAUGAGCUUCUAUGAUUGUUAUGAGUUGAGAGCAACGGUAUAAUUCGUGCGGCACAACGAUCCGUUUCGUGCACUGAGGUUUGUCUCUGACGCUGCGCUGGUUAGUCGCGGGAGAAGGCGGAAGUGUCUACACUCGGCGUUAAAGGAGGACGGCGCUGCUGUUUUCUUUUGUUAUUUUGUCGUCUUUUGUGCUUCCUUUUGUUUCUUUUCUUUCUUUUGUUUAAUUUAAAUAACAUUGUGUUAUUUUCCUGCUCUAUAUAUUUUGUUUCCUGUUUGUUUGUUGUAAAUAUAACAUUGUGAUAUUAUUUCUUUAUACAUAUUGUUUUCUUUUUGGUUUAAGUUGAUGGAUGUACUUUUAUUGUGUUAUGGAAUGUAAAAUUUACUUUUGUGUU